rnacentral:rRNA from 1 species
UAGGGAAUCUUCGGCAAUGGACGAAAGUCUGUCCGAGCAACGCCGCGUGAGUGAAGAAGGUUUUCGGAUCGUAAAACUCUGUUGUUAGAGAAGAACAAGGACGUUAGUAACUGAACGUCCCCUGACGGUAUCUAACCAGAAAGCCACGGCUAACUACGUGCCAGCAGCCGCGGUAAUACGUAGGUGGCAAGCGUUGUCCGGAUUUAUUGGGCGUAAAGCGAGCGCAGGCGGUUUCUUAAGUCUGAUGUGAAAGCCCCCGGCUCAACCGGGGAGGGUCAUUGGAAACUGGGAGACUAGAGUGCAGAAGAGGAGAGUGGAAUUCCAUGUGUAGCGGUGAAAUGCGUAGAUAUAUGGAGGAACACCAGUGGCGAAGGCGGCUCUCUGGUCUGUAACUGACGCUGAGGCGCGAAAGCGUGGGGAGCAAACAGG